rnacentral:rRNA from 1 species
UGCCAGCCGCCGCGGUAAUACGUAGGGGGCAAGCGUUAUCCGGAAUUAUUGGGCGUAAAGAGUGCGUAGGUGGUUUUGUAAGCGUAGGGUGAAAGGCAAUAGCUCAACUAUUGUAAGCCUUGCGAACUGCAAAACUUGAGUGCAGGAGAGGAAAGCGGAAUUCCUAGUGUAGCGGUGAAGUGCGUAGAUAUUAGGAGGAACACCAGUGGCGAAGGCGGCUUUCUGGACUGUAACUGACACUGAGGCACGAAAGCGUGGGGAGCAAACAGGAUUAGAUA